CUACGAAGGGGGCAAGCGUUGUUCGGAAUAACUGGGCGUAAAGCGCACGUAGGCGGAAUGUUAAGUUAGAGGUGAAAUCCCAGGGCUCAACCCUGGAACGGCCUUUAAUACUGGCAAUCUAGAGACCGAGAGAGGUGAGUGGAAUUCCGAGUGUAGAGGUGAAAUUCGUAGAUAUUCGGAGGAACACCAGUGGCGAAGGCGGCUCACUGGCUCGGUACUGACGCUGAGGUGCGAAAGCGUGGGGAGCAAACAGGAUUAGAAACCCUUGUAGUCC
rnacentral:rRNA from 1 species